rnacentral:rRNA from 1 species
CCUACGGGUGGCAGCAGUGAGGAAUAUUGGUCAAUGGGCGCGAGUCUGAACCAGCCAUGCCGCGUGCGGGAUGACGGCUCUAUGGAUUGUAAACUUCUUUUAUACGGGGAUAAACUGCGAUACGCGUCUCUUUCUGUAUGUAUCGUACGAAUAAGGAUCGGCUAACUCCGUGCCAGCAGCCGCGGUAAUACGGAGGAUCCGAGCGUUAUCCGGAUUUAUUGGGUUUAAAGGGUGCGUAGGCGGUCUUAUAAGUUAGCGGUGAAAGCCUGAGGCUCAACCUUGGAAUUGCCUUUGAUACUGGUGGGCUAGAGAGUAGUUGCGGCAGGCGGAAUGCGUGGUGUAGCGGUGAAAUGCUUAGAGAUCACACAGAACACCGAUUGCGAAGGCAGCCUACCAAGCCAUGUCUGACGCUGAGGCACGAAAGCGUGGGGAGCAAACAGGAUUAGAUACCCGGGUAGUC